rnacentral:sRNA from 1 species
UCAAGAAAUCCAUUGAGAAAGGCUGUA